AACAUGUCUGUAUAUUAUUUAGUAUAGUGAUGUUCUAACUGUGAUGUCUUAUAGUUUUUAACCCUGUAGGUACUGGUAUUAACCAUGAUAUCUGACUGUUGUUAACCCUGUAGGUACUGGUAUUAACCAUGAUAUCUGACUGUUAUUAACCCUGUAGAAACUGGUAUUAACCAUGAUAUCUGACUGUUUUUAACCCUGUAGGAACUGGUAUUAACCAUGAUAUCUGACUGUUAUUAACCCUGUAGGUACUGGUAUUAACCAUGAUAUCUGACUGUUGUUAACCCUGUAGGUACUGGUAUUAACCAUGAUAUCUGACUGUUGUUAACCCUGUAGGUACUGGUAUUAACCAUGAUAUCUGACUGUUGUUAACCCUGUAGGUACUGGUAUUAACCAUGAUAUCUGACUGUUGUUAACCCUGUAGGUGCUGGUAUUAACCAUGAUAUCUGACUGUUUUUAACCCUGUAGGAACUGGUAUUAACCAUGAUAUCUGACUGUGUUUAA